AUUGAACGCUGGCGGCAGGCCUAACACAUGCAAGUCGAGCGAGCGGCGGACGGGUGAGUAAUGUAUGGGGACUGCCCGAUCGAGGGGGAUAACUACUGGAAACGGUAGCUACUACCGCAUAUUAUCGGAUAACCCAUAUGGGAUUAGCUAGUAGGUGAGGUAAUGGCUCACCUAGCCGACGAUCCCUAGCUGGUCUGAGAGAAUGAUCAGCCAAACUGGGACUGAGACACGGCCCAGAUACCUACGGAGGCAGCAGUGGGGAAUAUUGCACAAUGGGCGCAAGCCUGAUGCAGCCAUGCCGAGUGUAUGAAGAAGGCACUAGGGUUGUAAAGUACUUUCAGUCGGGAGGCGUUACCGACAGAAGAAGCACCGGCUAACUCCGUGCCAGCAGCCGCGGUAAUAC
rnacentral:rRNA from 1 species